rnacentral:misc_RNA from 1 species
ACCUGCAUUUAAUCUAAGAGACCCCAGAACUUGGAUACCUCACCUCCCUCCACCCCCUCCUAAUAGACCUCAGAAUCAAAACCCUUAAUAGAUUGCUCCAGUUAUCAUCUCGAAGUGAUUUAUGUUUAAUAUGCCAUAGUUCAUAAUUAUAUGAGCUUUUACAUGUGAUGAAAAACAGAUGAGUAUAGAAAUAUAAAUUUUAUUUCCUUAAGAAGAUCAUUAUAGAAACAACAUUUCACCUGCAAAUAUUUAAAUUAAACUUGUAUCCAAAUGUAAAACACAAUCCAAAUUAAUGAAAUCAGAAA